rnacentral:rRNA from 1 species
UUAUGCUUGUCUCACAGAUUAAGCCAUGCAUGUCCAAGUACAAGCCUCACUAAGGUGAAACCGCGAAUGGCUCAUUAAAUCACACCUAAUCUACUGGAUAAUUAACAGGUACUUGGAUACCUGCGGUAAUUCUGGAGCUAAUACAUGCGAAAAGCCUCGAACUUACGUGAGAGGCGCUUUUAUUAGAUCAAAACCAAUCGGCUUCGGCUGUACUCUUGGUGACUCUGAAUAACUUUGGGCUGAUCGUACGGCCUUGCGCCGACGACAUAUCCUUCGAAGGUGUGCCCUAUCAACUGUCGACUGUGGCAUAGACGCCCACAGUGGUUUUGACGGGUAACGGGGAAUCAGGGUUCGAUUCCGGAGAGGGAGCCUUAAAAACGGCUACCACAUCUAAGGAAGGCAGCAGGCACGCAAAUUACCCAAUGACCGAAGGUCGAGGUAGUGACGAAAAAUAACGAUCCAGGACUCAUCCGAGGCCCUGGAAUCGGAAUGAGUACACUUUAAAACCGUCCCCGAGGAUCUAUUGGAGGGCAAGUCUGGUGCCAGCAGCCGCGGUAAUUCCAGCUCCAAUAGCGUAUAUUAAUGUUGUUGUGGUUAAAAAGCUCGUAGUUGGAUCUCGGCAGAUUGAGAGCGGUUUGCUUGCUAGUAUUACUGCUC